rnacentral:rRNA from 1 species
CAGGCUUAACACAUGCAAGUCGAGGGGCAUCAGGAAGAAAGCUUGCUUUCUUUGCUGGCGACCGGCGCACGGGUGAGUAACACGUAUCCAACCUGCCCUUUACUCGGGGAUAGCCUUUCGAAAGAAAGAUUAAUACCCGAUAGCAUAAUGAUUCCGCAUGGUUUCAUUAUUAAAGGAUUCCGGUAAAGGAUGGGGAUGCGUUCCAUUAGGUUGUUGGUGAGGUAACGGCCCACCAAGCCUUCGAUGGAUAGGGGUUCUGAGAGGAAGGUCCCCCACAUUGGAACUGAGACACGGUCCAAACUCCUACGGGAGGCAGCAGUGAGGAAUAUUGGUCAAUGGGCGCUAGCCUGAACCAGCCAAGUAGCGUGAAGGAUGAAGGCUCUAUGGGUCGUAAACUUCUUUUAUAUAAGAAUAAAGUGCAGUAUGUAUACUGUUUUGUAUGUAUUAUAUGAAUAAGGAUCGGCUAACUCCGUGCCAGCAGCCGCGGUAAUACGGAGGAUCCGAGCGUUAUCCGGAUUUAUUGGGUUUAAAGGGAGCGUAGGUGGACUGGUAAGUCAGUUGUGAAAGUUUGCGGCUCAACCGUAAAAUUGCAGUUGAUACUGUCAGUCUUGAGUACAGUAGAGGUGGGCGGAAUUCGUGGUGUAGCGGUGAAAUGCUUAGAUAUCACGAAGAACUCCGAUUGCGAAGGCAGCUCACUGGACUGCAACUGACACUGAUGCUCGAAAGUGUGGGUAUCAAACAGGAUUAGAUACCCUGGUAGUCCACACAGUAAACGAUGAAUACUCGCUGUUUGCGAUAUACAGUAAGCGGCCAAGCGAAAGCAUUAAGUAUUCCACCUGGGGAGUACGCCGGCAACGGUGAAACUCAAAGGAAUUGACGGGGGCCCACACAAGCGGAGGAACAUGUGGUUUAAUUCGAUGAUACGCGAGGAACCUUACCCGGGCUUAAAUUGCAGUGGAAUGAUGUGGAAACAUGUCAGUGAGCAAUCACCGCUGUGAAGGUGCUGCAUGGUUGUCGUCAGCUCGUGCCGUGAGGUGUCGGCUUAAGUGCCAUAACGAGCGCAACCCUUAUCUUUAGUUACUAACAGGUUAUGCUGAGGACUCUAGAGAGACUGCCGUCGUAAGAUGUGAGGAAGGUGGGGAUGACGUCAAAUCAGCACGGCCCUUACGUCCGGGGCUACACACGUGUUACAAUGGGGGGUACAGAAGGCAGCUAGCGGGUGACCGUAUGCUAAUCCCAAAAUCCUCUCUCAGUUCGGAUCGAAGUCUGCAACCCGACUUCGUGAAGCUGGAUUCGCUAGUAAUCGCGCAUCAGCCACGGCGCGGUGAAUACGUUCCCGGGCCUUGUACACACCGCCCGUCAAGCCAUGGGAGCCGGGGGUACCUGAAGUACGUAACCGCAAGGAUCGUCCUAGGGUAAAACUGGUGACUGGGGCUAAG